GGGUGUAGCUCAGUGGUAGUGCACUUGCCUAGUGUGCACAAGGCCCUGGGUUCCACCCCCAGCACCACA
rnacentral:tRNA from 1 species